rnacentral:rRNA from 1 species
UAGGGAAUCUUCGGCAAUGGGGGCAACCCUGACCGAGCAACGCCGCGUGAGUGAAGAAGGUUUUCGGAUCGUAAAGCUCUGUUGUAAGAGAAGAACGUGUGUGAGAGUGGAAAGUUCACACAGUGACGGUAACUUACCAGAAAGGGACGGCUAACUACGUGCCCG